rnacentral:rRNA from 1 species
UUUCUCCGUAGGUGAACCUGCGGAGGGAUCAUUACACAAAUAUGAAGGCGGGCUGGAACCUCUCGGGGUUACAGCCUUGCUGAAUUAUUCACCCUUGUCUUUUGCGUACUUCUUGUUUCCUUGGUGGGUUCGCCCACCACUAGGACAAACAUAAACCUUUUGUAAUUGCAAUCAGCGUCAGUAACAAAUUAAUAAUUACAACUUUCAACAACGGAUCUCUUGGUUCUGGCAUCGAUGAAGAACGCAGCGAAAUGCGAUAAGUAGUGUGAAUUGCAGAAUUCAGUGAAUCAUCGAAUCUUUGAACGCACAUUGCGCCCUUUGGUAUUCCAAAGGGCAUGCCUGUUCGAGCGUCAUUUGUACCCUCAAGCUUUGCUUGGUGUUGGGCGUCUUGUCUCUAGCUUUGCUGGAGACUCGCCUUAAAGUAAUUGGCAGCCGGCCUACUGGUUUCGGAGCGCAGCACAAGUCGCACUCUCUAUCAGCAAAGGUCUAGCAUCCAUUAAGCCUUUUUUUCAACUUUUGACCUCGGAUCAGGUAGGGAUACCCGCUGAACUUAAGCAUAUCAAAACCCGGAGGAAUA